GAGCAGGUGAUGAAAGAAUUUAAUAUUUACUGAUUAUGUUCCGUGAAGCAUCAAAUAUCGAGCUUUUUAAAACUGAUGCUCA